rnacentral:rRNA from 1 species
UACGUAGGGGGCAAGCGUUGUCCGGAUUCAUUGGGCGUAAAGAGCGUGUAGGCGGCCAGGUAGGUCGGUUGUGAAAACUGGAGGCUCAACCUUCAGAGGUCGACCGAAACCAUCUGGCUAGAGUCCGGGAGAGGAGAGUGGAAUUCCUAGUGUAGAGGUGAAAUUCGUAGAUAUUAGGAAGAACACCAGUGGCGAAGGCGGCUCACUGGCCCGGUACUGACGCUGAGGCGCGAAAGCGUGGGGAGCAAACAGG